rnacentral:rRNA from 1 species
ACGCUCGACACCUACGGGAGACAGCAGUGGGGAAUAUUGCACAAUGGGGGGAAACCCUGAUGCAGCGACGCCGCGUGAGCGAAGAAGUAUUUCGGUAUGUAAAGCUCUAUCAGCAGGGAAGAAACUGACGGUACCUGACUAAGAAGCACCGGCUAAAUACGUGCCAGCAGCCGACGGUAAUCUGAGCGGGCGUGGGCGAAGGC